rnacentral:lncRNA from 1 species
UUGCAAUCCAUGCGAUUUCCCUUUCUCCCAACCUUUCCUCCUCCCGAAGGAGGCAAGUAAUAUGACAAAAGUUGUACACAUAUUAUCAUAUACAAUGUAUUUUCCUGUUUUUCAUGUUGUGAAACAAGAAACAUAUUGUUUUAAUUAGAAAAAAAAUUUCAUGGAGGAAAUAAAAUGAAGAAUGUUUUCUGUUAUUCUACUUUUAGACUCUGUUUCUUUUGUGGUGAUGGAAAUCCUUUUUUGUCAUAAAUGCCUUGAAAUUGUCCUGAAUCCUUGCAUCACUGAUAAUAAAGUUGGAAGAAACCUCAAAAGACAUCUAAUGCAGUUGGAUGUGCAAUCGAGAGAAUACUGA